rnacentral:rRNA from 1 species
CCUACGGGAGGCUGCAGUGGGGAAUAUUGGACAAUGGGGGAAACCCUGAUCCAGCGACGCCGCGUGAGUGAAGAAGUAUUUCGGUACGUAAAGCUCUAUCAGCAGGGAAGAAAAAGACGGUACCUGACUAAUAAGCCCCGGCUAACUACGUGCCAGCAGCCGCGGUAAUACGUAGGGGGCAAGCGUUAUCCGGAUUUACUGGGUGUAAAGGGAGCGUAGACGGUAGCGCAAGUCUGGAGUGAAAGGCCGGGGCUCAACCCCGGAACUGCUCUGGAAACUGGGAAGCUGGAGUGCAGGAGAGGUAAGCGGAAUUCCUGGUGUAGCGGUGAAAGGCGUAGAUAUCAGGAGGAACACCAGUGGCGAAGGCGACUUACUGGACUGUAACUGACGUUGAGGCUCGAAGGCGUGGGGAGCAAACAGGAUUAGAUACCCUUGUAGUC